rnacentral:rRNA from 1 species
AUUGAACGCUGGCGGCAGGCCUAACACAUGCAAGUCGAACGAGUGGCGGACGGGUGAGUAAUGUCUGGGAAACUGCCCGAUGGAGGGGGAUAACUACGGGAAACGGUAGCUAAUACCGCAUACCAUCGGAUGUGCCCAGAUGGGAUUAGCUUGUAGGUGAGGUAACGGCUCAACUGGGCGACGAUCCCUAGCUGGUCUGAGAGGAUGAACAGCCACACUGGAACUGAGACACGGCCCAGACUCCUACGGUAGGCAGCAGUGGGGAAUAUUGCACAAUGGGCGCAAGCCUGAUGCAGCCAUGCCGCGUGUAUGAAGAAGGCCUUCGGGUUUUAAAGUACUUUCAGCGGGGAGGCGUUACCCGCAGAAGAAGCACCGGCUAACUCCGUGCCAGCCGCCGCGGUAAUAC